rnacentral:rRNA from 1 species
UGGGGGAAUAUUGCACAAUGGGCGAAAGCCUGACCCAGCAACGCCGCGUGAGGGAAGAAGGGUUUCGGCUCGUAAACCUCUGUCCUAUGGGACGAAGGAAGUGACGGUACCAUAGGAGGAAGCCCCGGCUAACUACGUGCCAGCAGCCGCGGUAAUACGUAGGGGGCGAGCGUUGUCCGGAAUGAUUGGGCGUAAAGGGCGCGUAGGCGGCCUGAUAAGUCUGGAGUGAAAGUCCUGCUUUCAAGGUGGGAAUUGCUUUGGAUACUGUUGGGCUGGAGUGCAGGAGAGGAAAGCGGAAUUACCGGUGUAGUAGUGAAAUGCGUAGAUAUCAGGAAGAACACCGGAGGCGAAGGCGGCUUACUGGACGAUAACUGACGUUGAGGCUCGAAAGCGUGGGGAGCAACCAGGAUUAGAUACCCUGGUAGU